rnacentral:tRNA from 1 species
GUUUAUAUAGUUUAUAUAAAAUAUUAUAUUUUCAUUAUAAAGUUAGAUUAAAUCUUAUAAAUA